rnacentral:rRNA from 1 species
UAAACAUUUGAGUGAGUGGCGGACGGGUGAGUAACACGUGGGUAACCUGCCCUAAAGGUGGGGAUAAUAUUUGGAAACAGAUGCUAAUACCGCAUAAAACCUAACACCGCAUGGUGUAGGGUUGAAAGAUGGUUUCGGCUAUCACUUUAGGAUGGACCCGCGGUGCAUUAGUUAGUUGGUGAGGUAAAGGCUCACCAAGACCGUGAUGCAUAGCCGACCUGAGAGGUAAUCGGCCACACUGGGACUGAGACACGGCCCAGACUCCUACGGGAGGCAGCAGUAGGGAAUCUUCCACAAUGGACGAAAGUCUGAUGGAGCAACGCCGCGUGAGUGAAGAAGGUUUUCGGAUCGUAAAACUCUGUUGUUGGAGAAGAAUGUAUCUGAUAGUAACUGAUCAGGUAGUGACGGUAUCCAACCAGAAAGCCACGGCUAACUACGUG